rnacentral:rRNA from 1 species
UACGUAUGGAGCAAGCGUUAUCCGGAUUUACUGGGUGUAAAGGGAGCGUAGGCGGCAUACCAAGCCUGAUGUGAAAACCCGGGGCCCAACCCCAGGAGUGCAUUGGGAACUGGCAAGCUAGAGUGUCGGAGAGGCAGGCGGAAUUCCUAGUGUAGCGGUGAAAUGCGUAGAUAUUAGGAGGAACACCAGUGGCGAAGGCGGCCUGCUGGACGAUGACUGACGCUGAGGCUCGAAAGCGUGGGGAGCAAACAGG